rnacentral:tRNA from 2 species
GCGGGUGUCGUACAGUGGUAGUACGUUGGUCUCCAAAACCAAUAACGGGAGUUCGAUUCUCUCCACCCGUG